GAUGAACGCUAGCGAUAGGCUUAACACAUGCAAGUCGAGGGGCAGCAUGGUCUUAGCUUGCUAAGGCUGAUGGCGACCGGCGCACGGGUGCGUAACGCGUAUGCAACUUGCCUCACAGAGGGGGAUAACCCGUCGAAAGACGGACUAAUACCGCGCACACUCUAUGUUGGGCAUCCAAUGUAGAGGAAAUGAAAUUCGCUGUGAGAUAGGCAUGCGUCCCAUUAGCUAGUUGGUGAGGUAACGGCUCACCAAGGCGACGAUGGGUAGGGGAACUGAGAGGUUGAACCCCCACACUGGUACUGAGACACGGACCAGACUCCUACGGGAGGCAGCAGUGAGGAAUAUUGGUCAAUGGGCGAGAGCCUGAACCAGCCAAGUCGCGUGAAGGAUGACUGUCUUAUGGAUUGUAAACUUCUUUUAUACGGGAAUAACAAGAGUCACGUGUGGCUCCCUGCAUGUACCGUAUGAAUAAGCAUCGGCUAACUCCGUG
rnacentral:rRNA from 1 species